UAAAUCUUUAAUGUACAAAAAAAAAAAGAGACAGAAAGCCAUUUGAACAAAGGCAAAGGCCAAAUCAUACUUUCAAAAUAAAAGUGUACAAACAUGGCGUACAAAAGACAAACUCAGACAAAAGAGAGCAGACAAAAAGUGAGUUAACAGUCUUCAGGGUAAAAACAUGUUAGUGUUGUGAGAGUUUAACUUGCUCCUCAGCUGUUUCUUACAGGUUCAGGAUGCACACCUGCACCUGAUCGUUGCACCUGCACCUGCUGCAGCUACUGCACCUGGUGCUGCACCUGGGGCAGCUGCUGCACCUGGUGACUUCAGUCUUUUCAAGUCAAUUCAUGUUUAAAUCUAUGAGCUGCGAAAACAAACCGAAUGAGUCAAACUGAGAAAACGUCACUAAAAGCGCGUGGCGUCCCCUCUC